AACCAUUCUCACCUGCGGCUAGACCUGCGGAGGGAUCAUUAACGUGCCGUGAAGAUCUGCCUUUAAACGGGUUAGAUCUUUCACAUGGCUCACCCUUGUUUAGCUUUAAUUGUUGCUUUGGUGGGCCUGCUGAUAAGGCUGCCGGGGAAAAUUUAAUUUCCGGGCUCGUGUUCACCAAAGUCUUUAAUGAACUCUGAGUUUGUCUUUAGUUGUCUGAGUUAUGAAAAGAAAUUUAUUUUA
rnacentral:misc_RNA from 1 species